GGCAGUGAGUUGGCCCCGGAGCUCAGGCCUCGGUCGCAGCCUCGGCCAGCGCCUGGUGGGGCCGAGAUCCGGCCCCGGCGCACCUGCCUUCUGGAAGGGCUCCCUGCCCUGCCCGUUCCCUCCGGGCCAGAAGGGGAGGGAUGCUCUGGCUCCCAACUUCAUUCCAGACUCUGCAGCCACCUCUCCCCGGCUUGUCUCUCCCUAGAGCAGAAGUGCAGAAGUGACAGGUCCCACGUUCUCCCCGCUUAGCGCCUGGUGGGGCCGAGAUCCGGCCCCGGCGCACCUGCCUUCUGGAAGGGCUCCCUGCCCUGCCCGUUCCCUCCGGGCCAGAAGGGGAGGGAUGCUCUGGCUCCCAACUUCAUUCCAGACUCUGCAGCCACCUCUCCCCGGCUUGUCUCUCCCUAGAGCAGAAGUGCAGAAGUGACAGGUCCCACGUUCUCCCCGCUUAGAUGGACAUCAGAACCAAGUGUCUGGCUUUGGGUUGGAAACCAGCCUCUUGGGUCAGGUAGAUGGUUCCAGGCUACCAGUGCUGAGUCCAAGCUCUCUGGACCAGCAGCUCCUUCAGGGCCAGGGCAGAGGGCUGAGGGGGAGGGCAAACCCCCUGUCCGGGCCCCAGCCUGGUGCUGGCCACCAGCUUCUCAGGGGACACCCACCCCUGCCCAGGGACUGGGGCUCAGCUGAGCGGGUGGCCCUGGCUCUCUCUGUCUGUGGCAUCGCUGGGUUCUGUUGGUCGACAGCUGGAUGAGACACCUCCCCUCCCCUGCCCAGUGUCCCCGCGUGGAGCUGUUAGAAAGGCGUCUGGGGGCCUAACCAGCCACUGAUGCAGCGGGAGGGGAAGCCGCUGCCUGGGGCGCUCGUGCAGCCCGUGGGCGCUCCCGCCCAGCCAGACCAUGCCAGGCUGCAGUCUCGAACCCCACCAGGUUCCGGACGAGUCUCAGAAAGCAGUGGUUCCUGUGUGAGUGCUGCUGGCCCACGCGCGUGCGUGACGUCCCGUGGUUUACAGGCCCCUUUGGGGGCAGUUGUUUCAAAAUCAUUUGUUUUACAAGCUCUUCCUCAGCCUCCAAACCUCUUCUCUGAACCUCUUUCCAAAAGCAAGCCAUCAUUUUCCGAAGGCUUGGAGCGAUGUGGCGUCAACAGCGGUUACCAUUUCCACACGGUUCUGUC
rnacentral:lncRNA from 1 species